rnacentral:rRNA from 1 species
AUGAACGCUGGCGGCGUGCCUAAUACCUGCAAGUCGAGCGAACAGACGAGGAGCUUGCUCCUCUGACGUUAGCGGCGGACGGGUGAGUAACACGUGGAUAACCUACCUAUAAGACUGGGAUAACUUCGGGAAACCGGAACUAAUACCGGAUAAUAUAUUGAACCGCAUGGUUCAAUAGUGAAAGACGGUUUUGCUGUCACUUAUAGAUGGAUCCGCGCCGCAUUAGCUAGUUGGUAAGGUAACGGCUUACCAAGGCAACGAUGCGUAGCCGACCUGAGAGGGGGAUCGGCCACACUGGAACUGAGACACGGUCCAGACUCCAACGGGAGGCAGCAGUAGGGAAUCUUCCGCAAUGGGCGAAAGCCUGACGGAGCAACGCCGCGUGAGUGAUGAAGGUCUUCGGAUCGUAAAACUCUGUUAUUAGGGAAGAACAAAUGUGUAAGUAACUAUGCACGUCUUGACGGUACCUAAUCAGAAAGCCACGGCUAACUACGU